rnacentral:rRNA from 1 species
AUUGAACGCUGGCGGCAUGCCUUACACAUGCAAGUCGAACGGCAGCACGGGAGCAAUCCUGGUGGCGAGUGGCGAACGGGUGAGUAAUAUAUCGGAACGUGCCCAGUAGUGGGGGAUAGCCCGGCGAAAGCCGGAUUAAUACCGCAUGAGACCUGAGGGUGAAAGCGGGGGAUCGCAAGACCUCGCGCUAUUGGAGCGGCCGAUAUCAGAUUAGCUAGUUGGUGGGGUAAAGGCCUACCAAGGCAACGAUCUGUAGUUGGUCUGAGAGGACGACCAGCCACACUGGGACUGAGACACGGCCCAGACUCCUACGGGAGGCAGCAGUGGGGAAUUUUGGACAAUGGGCGCAAGCCUGAUCCAGCAAUGCCGCGUGCAGGAAGAAGGCCUUCGGGUUGUAAACUGCUUUUGUCAGGGAAGAAAUCCUCUGGGUUAAUACCUCGGGGGGAUGACGGUACCUGAAGAAUAAGCACCGGCUAACUACGUGCCAGCAGCCGCAGUAAUAC